rnacentral:rRNA from 1 species
UACGUAGGGCGCAAGCGUUAUCCGGAAUUAUUGGGCGUAAAGAGCUCGUAGGCGGGUUGUCGCGUCUGCCGUGAAAGUCCGGGGCUCAACCCCGGAUCUGCGGUGGGUACGGGCAGACUUGAGUGCAGUAGGGGAGACUGGAAUUCCUGGUGUAGCGGUGAAAUGCGCAGAUAUCAGGAGGAACACCGAUGGCGAAGGCAGGUCUCUGGGCUGUAACUGACGCUGAGGAGCGAAAGCAUGGGGAGCGAACAGG